rnacentral:rRNA from 1 species
UACGGGGGGGGCAAGCGUUGUUCGGAAUUACUGGGCGUAAAGGGCUCGUAGGCGGCCAACUAAGUCGGAUGUGAAAUCCCCAGGCUUAACCUGGGAACUGCAUCCGAUACUGGAUGGCUUGAAUCCGGGAGAGGGAUGCAGAAUUCCAGGUGUAGCGGUGAAAUGCGUAGAUAUCUGGAGGAAUACCGGUGGCGAAGGCGGUCACCUGGACGGAUACUGACGCUGAGACGCGAAAGCGUGGGGAGCAAACAGG